GACGAACGCUGGCGGCGUGCUUAACACAUGCAAGUCGAACGGAAAGGCCCUGCUUUUGUGGGGUGCUCGGGUGGCGAACGGGUAAGUAACACGUAAGCAACCUGCUCUUGACUUUUGGAUAACUUCACGUAGCUGUGGUUACUACCGGAUCGCAUCUCCUCCUGCUUGGUGGGGGUUGGAUCGUUUCGGCGGUUGGGGAUGGACUCGCGGCUUAUCAGCUUGUUGGUUGGGUAGUGGCUUACCAAGGCUUUGACGGGUAGCCGGCCUGUGAGGGGGGCCGGCCACAUGGGGACUGAGAUACGGCCCAGAGUCCAACGGGAGGCAGCAGGGGGGAGUAUGGAACAAUGGGAGGAAGCCUGAGGAGGAAACGCGGCGGGCGGGAUGACGGCCUUCGGGUUGAAAACAGCUUUAGCCUGUGACGAAGCGGGAGUGACGGUAAUGGGUAAAGAAGCACCGGCUAACUACGUG
rnacentral:rRNA from 1 species